UUAAUCAAAUGCAUUCCAAUUUAAUCACUUCGUAAAUUCAAUUCAAUUCGAUCCAAAUCUUGGUUCAAGUUCAAAUCUCAUAAUUUACAUCCUUGUUCCAAAACCAUGUCAAACUCAAAUUCAAAUUCAAAUUCAAGUUAUUUAAUUUGAAUUAUCAUAAAUCCAGUUUCAAAUAAUACAUUUAUUUGAAUUUGUCAUUCAAGUUUCCUCUCCUACAGUUAUUUUCCUCUCCAGAUCUUUCUUCCCAACAACUCACUGCCAUGUGGACCCCACCAUGUCAGUCUGUCCUUUUCCUCCCACAGAUCUUUCCCUUCCACCUCCUGCUCUCUCUCAGCUCACCCGCCGCAUCGGUCCACAACGGCGGCACCCGUUCACAGAGCCAGGUGACCAGGUCCUGACCACCUCCGUACUUGAGCCGGCCCAAGUCUCGAGCUGCUAAUCGCCUCACCUCGCUAUGAAUCCGAAACAAAGCUAUCUUCUCUUCUUCUCUCCCCACUGCAAACCGAGCUCACCACUGAGCAAGCACGCCAUCGAGCAGAGAAGAAAAGCCCGACGCCGUCAGGCGGCCCACAGGGGCUCUGCCGCACCGUCCCACGCCGCCACCACCCUCCUUCGCUGGCACUGAGUCCCCGCCGUGGUCAUGCUCCCUCGCCAAGCCGUUGUAUCACCGCUGCCAUACGUCAUCUCGGUUUUGAGUCAAGAAUCUAAGCAAGGACGCGAGAAAGGAACAGAAGGCGAUGCCUGAUGAUGAAGAACCUGGGAGACUCGAAUGAUAGGACCAAUCGAGAAUUGACCUUCGACUAGGGAAGCCCUAACUCCCUUAUCAUGCUGAUCUCAUGUUUGUAAUAUAAUAAAAUGACAAACUAAAAUUCGGUAGUUAUACGUGUAUGCUAUAUAUAAUAGUUUCUCAAUAAAUGCUUGUAUUAGUUAUAACCCAUUUACUGAGCAUACUAUAAUUAGUACUCGUAAUAUUUAAAUAGUAA